rnacentral:rRNA from 1 species
AAUAUUGGUUAAUGGAGGCAACUCUGAACCAGCCACGUCGCGUGAAGGCAGACGGCCCUACGGGCNGUAAACUUCUUUUGUAAGGGNAUAAAGUGCAGCACGUGUACUGUGUUGCAUGUACCUUACGAAUAAGGAGCGGCUAACUCCGUGCCAUCAGCCGCGGUAAUACGGAGGAUCCAAGCGUUAUCCGGAUUUAUUGGGUUUAAAGGGUGCGCAGGCGAAGAUUAAGUCGGCGGUGAAAUUUUGCAGCUCAACUGUAAAAGUGCCUUCGAAACUGGUUUUCUUGAGUGUGGAUGCGGUAGGCGGAAUUUGUGGUGUGGCGGUGAAAUGCAUAGAUAUCACGAGGAACGCCGAUUGCGAAGGCAGCUUACUAAGCCAUAACUGACGCUCAUGCACGAAGGCGUGGGGAUCAAACAGG